rnacentral:rRNA from 1 species
GACGAACGCUGGCGGCGUGCUUAACGCAUGCAAGUCGAACGGUAAGGCCCUUCGGGGUACACGAGUGGCGAACGGGUGAGUAACACGUGGGUGAUCUGCCCUGCACUUCGGGAUAAGCCUGGGAAACUGGGUCUAAUACCGGAUAGGACCACUGCCUGCAUGGGUGGUGGUGGAAAGCUUUUGCGGUGUGGGAUGGGCCCGCGGCCUAUCAGCGUGUUGGUGGGGUGAUGGCCUACCAAGGCGACGACGGGUAGCCGGCCUGAGAGGGUGACCGGCCACACUGGGACUGAGAUACGGACCAGACUCCUACGGGAGGCAGCAGUGGGGAAUAUUGCACAAUGGGCGCAAGCCUGAUGCAGCGACGCCGCGUGAGGGAUGACGGCCUUCGGGUUGUAAACCUCUUUCAGCACCGACGAAGCGCAAGUGACGGUAGGUGCAGAAGAAGGACCGGCCAACUACGUGCCAGCCGCCGCCGUAA